rnacentral:rRNA from 1 species
GACGUAGGGCGCGAGCGUUGUCCGGAUUUAUUGGGCGUAAAGAGCUCGUAGGCGGCUUGUUGCGUCGGCUGUGAAAUCCCGUGGCUUAACUGCGGGCUUGCAGCUGAUACGGGCGGGCUGGAGUUCGGUAGGGGAGACUGGAAUUCCUGGUGUAGCGGUGAAAUGCGCAGAUAUCAGGAGGAACACCGGUGGCGAAGGCGGGGUCUCUGGG